GCAACUGUUACUAUCUUGAACCUGUUUAGGAAAGCUGAUGCUUCUAAAAUAUUGCAGAGAAAUGCCAGAAAGGUUGAGGGAUUUGAGUGAGAAUGAGAACAAUCAGAAGUUGCUUUUUGUGACUCAAGAGGGACAUCCAGGGUAUACUUUGUUUUCAGAAUGAAACCCUGAUAGCAAUUAAAGCUCCACAUGGAACAACUCUCGAAGUACCUGAUCCUGAUGAAGAUGUUGAUUUUCGACAAAGGAGAUACAGGAUAAUCCUUAGAAGCACAAUGGGUCCCAUUGAUGUUUACCUAGUCAGGCGUUACUCUCUUCUUUACAUAUAUUAAACCAUUUAUCCGUACAUGUUCGUUUGGAAAUAAGUCUAAUUGAUGAUGACAGGAUAGGUUUAGUUGCGGAAAUAAAAAGUGUCCGCAUCGUAAUUCUGGUCUAUCAAAUCUGGUUAUAUAUGUAUAUUAACAACAUCCUUUUCUUGAUCUGAGUUGCUUAAUUAGUCAUUAGUUUUUUACAUAUCAAAAUCGAAAAAGCAGCCUUACUAAAUGUAGAUGUGUAGAAUUGGUGCAUCGAGAUGAUAAUCUU